rnacentral:rRNA from 1 species
CAGCCGCCGCGGGAAUACGUAGGGUGCAAGCGUUAAUCGGAAUUACUGGGCGUAAAGCGUGCGCAGGCGGUUAUAUAAGACAGAUGUGAAAUCCCCGGGCUUAACCUGGGAACUGCAUUUGUGACUGGCCGGCUAGAGUAUGGCAGAGGGAGGUGGAAUUCCACGUGUAGCAGUGAGAUGCGUAGAUAUGUGGAGGAACACCGAUGGCGAAGGCAGCCUCCUGGGCCAAUACUGACGCUCAUGCACGAAAGCGUGGGGAGCAAACAGGAUUAGAUACCCGAGUAGUCCCUGUCUCUUAUAC